rfam:Acidobacteria bacterium RIFCSPLOWO2_02_FTLL_67_21 rifcsplowo2_02_scaffold_1193, whole genome shotgun sequence.
GGGCGGCUAGCUCAGCUGGGAGAGCGCUGCGUUCGCAAUGCAGAGGUCAGGGGUUCGAUCCCCCUGCCGUCCA